rnacentral:rRNA from 1 species
GUGCCUAACACAUGCAAGUCGAACGCGAAUAUCCCGCAAGGGAUUAGUAGAGUGGCAAACGGGUGAGUAACACGUGGGUGACCUGCCUUCGAGUGGGGGAUAACGUCCCGAAAGGGACGCUAAUACCGCAUGACAUCCUGCCUUUGAACAGGUGGAGAUCAAAGCUGGGGAUCGCAAGACCUAGCGCUUGAAGAGGGGCCCGCGUCCGAUUAGCUAGUUGGUGAGGUAACGGCUCACCAAGGCGACGAUCGGUAGCCGGCCUGAGAGGGCGGACGGCCACACUGGGACUUGUUUACACGGCCCAG